rnacentral:lncRNA from 1 species
UUGGCAGAGCAAUCUGUUUCAUCUUGGACUUAACGGUGCUUUUAAAAACAAAAAUUAAAAGGAGGGAAAACUGGCUCUCCUAAGAGGGUAGAAGGAAAAAAACAAAAAAAGGCAAAGCUGAAACAAGUGCAACUUUCCUGCAGCUGCUUUUCCAAGGCCUCUGCUAUACCGAGGCGUGGGUUUGCACUUGCAAAGAGUAAAUACACUCCUCCCCGGAGCCAGCGAGCUGCUCAGAGCGGCGGAAACAGGGAUCACGCAGAUCUCUCCAGUCUGUCCCUGCCCCCUAUUGGAAUUCGAUUUCCCAUGGGAGGGGGGCCUGCGGAGGACAUCAGGGAAUGUGCAGCAUGGAAGUUGCACGUGUGGGCCACGACACAUUGCGCCAGGCCGGCCUCGCUCAUCUGAGAGGGGUCUGAGUGUGGAGCCAUCCUCCCCACAGCCUGCGUGCACUUACUGAGGCUGCUCCACAGACACCCCCCAUCUUCCUG